UUUUUUUUUUUUUCUUUUUAGGGCCAUACCUGCAGCAUAUGGAAGUUCCCAUGCUAGGGGUCAAAUCAAAGCUGCAGCUGCCAGCCUAUGCCACAGCCACAGCAACAGAGGAUGUAAGCCAUGCCUGUGACCUACACUACAGCUCACAGCAAUACCAGAUCCCUGACCCAGUGAGCAAUACCAGGGAUCAAACCUACAUCCUCAUGGAUACUAGUCAGAUUGCUUUCCACUGUACCACAUUGGGAACUCCUCUUUAGUCUUAUUUUUUAAUUGGCCAUAACAGAGAAAUGACUGAAAGAAAAAUAUAAUAGUAUGUUGUGUGUUCAUAAUAUGUGUAAAAAUAAAAUACAUGACAAUAACAGCACAGAAUAUUAAAGGAAAGAAUUGAGAAUAUGCUAUUGAAAAUUUUAUGGAGUUCCUAUUGUGGCUCAUUGGGUUAAGGACAUGAUGUUGUCUCUGUGAGGAUGCAGGUAAAAUCACUGGUCUGGCUCAGUAGGUUAAGGAUCUGGCAUGCCUGCAAGUUGCGGCAUCAUUACAGAUGUAGCUUAGACCCCAUUCUGCCAUGGCUAUGGCAUAGGCACAGCUGCAGUUCCUAUUCAACUUAUGGCCUGGGAACUUCCAUAUACUGCAGGUAUGGCAAUAAAAAAAAAAUAGGAACACUUUAAAAAUUAAAAAUAAGGCAGGAAAAGAAGGAAAAAGAACAAAGAAUAACUGCUAAUGAAUUUAAAAAGCUAGGUGGAUAGUAGUCUUUAACCCAAAUAUAUUGAUUAUUAUAUUAAAUUGCCUAAAAACACCAAUUAAAUGUUAGAUUUUACAGUGGAUUAAAAAAAGCAAUAACAAGUACAUACUAUCCAUGGUAAAUCAACCUCAGUUAUAAAUAAUACGUUAAAAAACAAAAACAGAAAAAAGAUAUACCAUGUAAAUAAAAACCUAAAGAAAACUGAAGUAGCUGUAUUAAUAGCAGCAGAGAAAACAAUGGUACCCGGAGAAUAGAGAUAUAUUAAAUGAUGACAAAGGAGUCAAUACUUGGAGGGAAACUGAAUAUUCAUAUACCUAAUAACACAGCUACAAAAUAUAUGAGGCAAAAUCUGAUGAAACUGAAAGGAGAAAGAGACACAUCCAGAACUACAUUUGAAUACUUCAAUAUUUCUCUUUCAGCAAUUGCUAAAGCAGGUAGAUAUAAAACCAGUAAGGAUAUAGGAAAUCUGAAGAAUGCUAACAAUCAACUUUACCUGACAUUUCUAGAACAUUCCACCUAAUUAAAGCAGAAUACAUAUUCUUUCAAAUGUGCAUUGAACAUAAAAUUGACCAUGUUCUGCACUGUAAAACAAACCUCAGGAGUUCCUUUCAUGGCUCAGCAGUAACGAACCCAACUAGAAUCCAUGAGGAUGUGGGUUCAAUCCCUGGCCUUGCUCAAUGGGUUAAGGAUCUGGUGUUGCCAUGAGCUCUGUGUAGGUUGCAGAUGUGGCUCCAAUCCCAUGUUGUUGUACCUGUGGAGUAAGCUGGCAGGUGUAGCUCUGAUUUGAUUCCUAGCUUGUAAAUUUCCAUAUGCUGUGGGUGUGGCCCUUAAAAAAUAAAAUAAAACAGAUCUCAUCAAAUUUAAAGAAUUGAAAUUAUUCAAAGUGUGCUUAGGCCCAAACAGAAUUAAGUAGAAAUCAGUAAGAGAAAACCAUCCAGAAAAAUCACAAGAGGUGUGGAAACUCAACAACUCACCUCUAAAUAUUAGGUAUUCCACUGUUACUAAAAAAGAGAAAAUGCAAUAUUGGGGCAACAGUCUUUUCUAGAUACAGAUAUAGAAAUAGAGUAAUUAUGCUGUCAGAGUAUCUCCAUGUUAGGUCAUGGAAAAAAAGAGUAUUUAAAGCAGUUGUUAUGGACUGAAUCUUGUGUCCCCCAAAAUUCACAUGUUGAAGUCAUCUGAUUUGGAGAUAGGAUCUUUGUGAGUUAAUAAGGUUUAAAAGAGGCCAUGAGUGUGGGGCCAACAGGGUGGGAUUAGGGUCCUCAUAGAAAGAGGAAGAAAGACCAGAGCUCUCCGUCUCUUACCAUUAUGUGAGGACUCAGCUAGAAAGCAGUUGGAUGCAAGUCACGAAACAAGUUCUAAUUGGGAAGUGAGUCAGCUGGCACCUUGACCUUGGACUUCCCAGCCUUCUGAACUGUGAGGAAUAAAUGUCUCUUGUUUCAGCUAUUAGCCUAUGGUAUUUUGUUAAAGCAGCCUGAUUUAACUAAGGAUGGCACGUCAUAUUACUGAGAGAGAGGGAACUGCCACCUCAGUUCUACUCAGUCCACCAAAUCAUAUGUGUAUAUCCUUUUAAAAAGGUGCUGGAGUUAUUAGCCUUUUUCUGCUCUUUCUGCUCAAUGGCUCUUUUACCAAGGUUUUGGCUCUCUAAUAUAUAUAUCCAUUCCUCUUCUGCCCCUUAGAGUGCUGACUCAGCCCUUUUUGGUGAGGCAAAGGAUCAGAAGAGCAACUGAAAAAUUAGGCUGCUCCAACUCAUUCAAUACACCACCUGGAAAAUGACUUCUGCCACCUCUCAAUGUUAGGAAUCCCUCAAUCAGAAGAGUCUACAAGGCUGACCAGUAGAGCAGACAAGGCAGUAUGAGGUCUUUAACAUUUACCUAGUUAAGUUAAUGCCAUACAAGGCACAUGGAGGCCAUUCAGUGCCAUCACUGAGCUCCAUAUAUCCAGUAAUUCUUAUACUUUUGUGAUUAUAAGUUCAGUACCAUUGGCACACUUUUGACUUAAUAUCUAAAUAUCUUGAUGAUCAAGCCAUCAAUUUCAUCUAAUCCUACUGAAUCAAUAGAUUCUUUUAUGAAAAUAAUAUGUACAAUAUUCCUACAUAUACUUGAGUACAUAGUUUUAACUUCUCUUUCCAAAACCUCUAACCAAAUUCACUUCAUUAUUGAUAUUUAACCUAAGAUUUGCUCAUUCUCCAGCACACUAUAUUUCCUUUCCAAUUGAUGCUGUCUAUCAUUUCUUUGCUAUUAAUUCUUUCUUUUUAAUUAGAUGGUAAGCUCUAUAAUGCCAUCGAUAGUCACUUUUUUUCCCUGCUCAUUUAUUCCUAGCACCUGGCACAUUGGCUCAGUAAAUAUCUGCUGCAGGAUACAUCCCACAGAUUUUUUAUUUUCUCUCCCUCUCUCUGUGUCUCUCUGUCUCUGUCUCUCUGUCUCUCUCUCACAUACACACACACACACACACACACUCACAUGGGAGCUUCUGGCUUCUUUGCUAAUAUACAUGUACCAGGUUUUCUCUUGUAGCAUUUGACACAGUUAUCUCAUCAUAUUCAUCAGAUAUGCCAAUGCUUAUUAGCCUCGGGGCAAUGC
rnacentral:lncRNA from 1 species